rnacentral:rRNA from 1 species
UACGUAGGGUGCGAGCGUUGUCCGGAAUUACUGGGCGUAAAGAGCUCGUAGGUGGUUUGUCGCGUUGUUCGUGAAAUCUCACGGCUUAACUGUGAGCGUGCGGGCGAUACGGGCAGACUGGAGUACUGCAGGGGAGACUGGAAUUCCUGGUGUAGCGGUGGAAUGCGCAGAUAUCAGGAGGAACACCGGUGGCGAAGGCGGGUCUCUGGGCUAUAACUGACGCUCAUGCACGAAAGCGUGGGGAGCAAACAGG